GCGUUACUCGGAAUUACUGGGCGUAAAGCGUGCGUAGGUGGUUUGUUAAGUCUGAUGUGAAAGCCCUGGGCUCAACCUGGGAAUUGCAUUGGAUACUGGCAGGCUAGAGUGCGGUAGAGGGUAGUGGAAUUCCCGGUGUAGCGGUGAAAUGCGUAGAGAUCGGGAGGAACACCAGUGGCGAAGGCGAUUACCUGGACCAGCACUGACGCUGAGGCGCGAAAGCGUG
rnacentral:rRNA from 1 species